rnacentral:rRNA from 1 species
AUAUCAGUCAUGCAUAGCAUAUCAAUAAGCGGAGGAAAAGUACCUACGCUUAGGAUGUUGACGAUCAGCUGAGCGCGAAGAGAGAGACAUGCGCGCAUAUCAAUAAGCGGAGGAAAAGAAACUAACAAGGAUUCCCCUAGUAACGGCGAGUGAAGCGGGAAGAGCUCAAAUUUGAAAUCUUAAAGGGUUUCCCUUUACGAAUUGUAGUUUAAAGAAGUGUUUUCUGUUGAGGUUUUGGUAAAAGUUCUUUGGAAUAGGACAUCAUAGAGGGUGAGAAUCCCGUAUUUGACCUUUACUUUCAACUUUGUGAUACACUUUCAAAGAGUCGGAUUGUUUGGGAAUGCAGUCCAAAAUGGGUGGUAAAUUUCAUCUAAAGCUAAAUAUUGGCGAGAGACCGAUAGCGAACAAGUACCGUGAGGGAAAGAUGAAAAGAACUUUGAAAAGAGAGUUAAACAGUACGUGAAAUUGUCAAAAGGGAAGCGUUUGACACCAGUGUUGUUUUUCUGAAAAUCAAUUAAAGAACUGUUUAUGCUAAGUUGUUUAGACUUUAUCAGCUAACUGUUUAGUUUUGAGCUUUUCUUUAAUGCACUUUUCAGUUAACAAGUCAACAUCAAUUUCUUUUGCUGUAAAAAAGCUUGAGGAAGGUGGCUUGAGAUUCGUCUUAAGUGUUUAUAGCCUCUUGCCUAUGCAGUCGGAGAGAUUGAGGUCUGCAGCGUAGAUCCUUCGGGGCUAAAUGCAUUUGUGCUAAGUUAUAGCAUUUUAUAGACAACUUGUUGACUAUGAUUUGUCUUGUAGCUUACUCGCUUAUGUUAUUUUACCUACGCUUAGGAUGUUGACGCAUGAGAUAUACGC